GCGGGCGUGGCGAAACUGGUAGACGCAACGGACUUAAAAUCCGUAGGGCCGCAAGGCCUGUGCCGGUUCGA
rnacentral:tRNA from 1 species